GGGGAUGUAAAGGUUUCGACGGGGAUUUCAAACCUUGGUAAGCGAGCGGCGGUGCGGAACCGCCAUAAAAUCCGCAACUUUAAAAUUAACUGACAACAAAACAGUUGCUUUAGCAGCCUGAGUGCUGCUCGUUCCUGCACAGAGUACCUCGGCUGUGUAAGGGGCGUCGAUUAGAGGUAAAUGUGAACAGGGGAGCGCUCCGAACCCUGUCACAGCUUAGGAGCUGCCAAAGUGCAUAGCCUGUUGAUGGGCGAUGCACCGAGGGAGAUUUAAAACACCAACUGCGCUCGGAGAAACCCUUGGCAAGAUUUUUUCGGACAGGAGUUCGACUCUCCUCAUCUCCACCA
rnacentral:tmRNA from 1 species